rnacentral:siRNA from 1 species
CUAACUCUUAAGAUCGUGCCAC